UCGGAUGUGGCGCACGGCGCACACCCGCUCGCAAUAGCAAAAUAUUCGAAUGUGCUGCAGCGGGAAGCCUGGGUUCGAUUCCCAGCAUCCGAA